rnacentral:rRNA from 1 species
GGGUGAGUAAUGCUUAGGAAUCUGCCUAUUAGUGGGGGACAACAGGCCGAAAGGAAUGCUAAUACCGCAUACGUCCUACGGGAGAAAGCAGGGGAUCAUUUGACCUUGCGCUAAUAGAUGAGCCUAAGUCGGAUUAGCUAGUUGGUGGGGUAAAGGCCUAAAAAGGCGACGAUCUGUAGCUAGUCUGAGAGGAUGAUAAACCACACUGGGACUGAGACACGGCCCAGACUCCUACGGGAGGCAGCAGUGGGGAAUAUUGGACAAUGGGGGGAACCCUGAUCCAGCCAUGCCGCGUGUGUGAAGAAGGCCUUUUGGUUGUAAAGCACUUUAAGCGAGGAGGAGGCUCUCUUGGUUAAUACCUGAGAAGAGUGGACGUUACUCGCAGAAUAAGCACCGGCUAACUCUGUGCCAGCUUCCGCGGUAAUACAGAGGGUGCGAGCGUUAAAAAGAUUUACUGGGCGUAAAGCGCGCGUAGGUGGCUAAUUAAGUCAAAUGUGAAAUCCCCGAGCUUAACUUGGGAAUUGCAUUCGAUACUGGUUGGCUAGA